rnacentral:misc_RNA from 1 species
CGCCUGUCUCGCCUUUAGCAGAGUCUAGUCAUAACCUGUGGAACCACCAACAUGCACACUGUGUUUUCUGUAGCUGUUGUCGCUCUUUGUUGUUGUUCUGCCUUCGCUUGGAACAACGCUGGGGGCGGCAGACGUUUCAACAAUGGAGGGUCUGGGUUCGUCAACAACAAUUUCAAUGGAGGCGGAUUCGUUGUAGGAAACGAUGCUGCUUGGAGGGGCGCUGGAUUCGGAGGCGGAAAUGUCGGGAUCAUUGGCGGCGGUGGAUUUGGUGGCCGCAAUGUAGGCCAUGGUGUUGGUGGCGGCAAUCUAGGCCAUGGAGUUGGCGGCGGCAAUGGAGUCGGAUUUGUAUCUGGAAAUAGAUUUGCUCACGGCAAUAGAGGACAUGGAUCUGGUGUUGGACUUGGUGGCGCUGCCGGUUUUGGCAACGGUGGCGUAUUCAUUGGCGGAAACGAUGCUGCCUGGAGGGGCGCUGGACUCGGUGGCGGAAGUAUCGGAAUCAUUGGCGGUGGUGGAUUUGGUCGCGGCAAUGUAGGCCAUGGAGUUGGAGGCGGAAAUAUCGGGAUCAUUGGCGGUGGUGGAUUUGGUCGCGGCAAUGUAGGCCGUGGAGUUGGAGGCGGAAAUAUCGGGAUCAUUGGCGGCGGUGGAUUUGGUGGCGGCAAUAUAGGCCAUGGAGUUGGCGGCGGCAAUAUAGGCCAUGGAGUUGGCGGCGGCAAUGGAGUCGGAUUUGUAUCUGGAAAUAGAUUUGCUCACGGCAAUGGAGGACAUGGAUCUGGAGCUGGAGUUGGUGGCGCUGUCGGUUUUGGCAACGGUGGCGUAUUCAUUGGUGGAAACGAUGCUGUCUGGAGGGGUGCUGGACUCGGUGGCGGAAGUAUCGGAAUCAUUGGCGGUGGUGGAUUUGGUCGCGGCAAUGUAGGCCAUGGAGUUGGCGGCGGCAAUAUAGGCCAUGGAGUUGGCGGCGGCAAUAUAGGCCAUGGAGUUGGCGGCGGCAAUAUAGGCCAUGGAGUUGGUGGCGGCAAUAUAGGCCAUGGAGUUGGCGGCGGCAAUGGAGUCGGAUUUGGAUCUGGAAAUAGAUUUGCUCACGGCAAUGGAGGACAUGGAUCUGGAGUUGGAAUUGGUGGCGCUGUCGGUUUUGGCAACGGUGGCGGAUUCAUUAGAGGAAACGAUGCUGUCCGGAGGGGUGCUGGACUCGGUGGCGGAAAUAUUGGAUUCGGUGGCGGCAAUAUCGGAAUCGUUGGCGGAAAUGUAGGUCAUGGCAUCGGAGGCGGCAAUGUUGGUCAUGGCAUCGGAGGUGGCAAUGUUGAGGUCAUGGCAUCGUAGGCGGAAACGGAUUUAGGGGUGGCCGUGUUGGGGGCGGUAUUCUUGGAUCUGGAAUUGGCCUCGGAGGAGGACCGAUCGUCGGUGGAAACGACGCCGCAUGGAGAGGUGCAGGAUUUGGUGGAGGCAACAACUUUGUAUCCGGACAUUAAACAGACUUUUUGCUGAAGGAACAGUUUGUCUUGGACGUGAGAGUGGGUUACAAUGGAAGAAAAUAUAUGUUAUUUGGUUUGACCUAUUUUGGUAAUAAACAAUGUAUCUGAAAAA